rnacentral:snoRNA from 1 species
AAAUACUUGAAAAAAAUAACUCUCUCGUAUUGUUCUUGCCAGUGGUGUUGACUCUUAAUUUUACCAACGUACUAAGUUCCAAUUUAAUAGCAAACAAGAUAAACUCUUUGUCAAUUACUCACCAAGAUACGUCCUAAUCUCGCAAGAGAGUUGAUUAUAUUGGUCCAUUUCACUGACAAACAU